rnacentral:tRNA from 1 species
UACCCCGUGGUGUAAUGGUAGCACAAGAGGUUUUGGUCCUCUUUGUCUAGGUUCGAGUCCUGGCGGGGUAGCCA